AUACUCACCAGGCAGAGGAACACCAUGAUCACGCAGGUGGUUUUCCCAGGGCAAGGCUCACCCAUUGUACUCAGGAUGUGCUGCCCCUUGUGAUUUCCCCAAAUGAAGGAAACUUGACUUCAUAAUUUGUCAUAGUAGGAGACCACAUUCACUCUCCCC